rnacentral:rRNA from 1 species
CUGCUUUUHGUCCGAVGGAAACAVYBUUUUUUAAKACGGGGGGCUAAUGACGGUACCCGURAAGAAAAAAGCACCGGGHUAAUACGUAGGGUGCAAGCGUUAAUCGGAAUUACUGGGCGUAAAGCGBGCGCAGGCGGUUUUAUAAGACAGAUGUGAAAUCCCCGGGCUCAACCUGGGAACUGCAUUUGUGACUGNAUAGCUAGAGUACGGUAGAGGGGGAUGGAAUUCCGCGUGUAGCVGUGAAAUGCGUAGAUAUGCGGAGGAACACCGAUGGCGAAGGCAAUCCCCUGGACCUGUACUGACGCUSAUGCACGAAAGCGUGGGGAGCAAACAGGNUUAGAUACCCUGGUAGUCCACGCCCUAAACGAUGUCAACUGGUUGUUGGGNCUUCACUGACUCAGURCGAA